UACGUAGGGUGCGAGCGUUAAUCGGAAUUACUGGGCGUAAAGCGUGCGCAGGCGGCUACAUAAGACAGAUGUGAAAGCCCCGGGCUUAACCUGGGAACUGCGUUUGUGACUGUGUAGCUAGAGUGCGGCAGAGGGGGGUGGAAUUCCACGUGUAGCAGUGAAAUGCGUAGAGAUGUGGAGGAACACCGAUGGCGAAGGCAGCCCCCUGGGUCGACACUGACGCUCAGGCACGAAAGCGUGGGGAGCAAACAGGAUUAGAUACCCUGGUAGUCCACGCCCUAAACGAUGCGAACUAGGUGUUGGGGAAGGAGACUUCUUUAGUACCGUAGCUAACGCGUGAAGUUCGCCGCCUGGGGAGUACGGUCGCAAGAUUA
rnacentral:rRNA from 1 species